CGAGUCGACCGGACGGCCGCGUCGGGAUCUUCGGAUCCCGCCGAGGAAAGUCCGGGCUCCACAGGGCAGGGUGGUUGUCAAUGGCAACCCGGGGCGACCCGCGGGAUAGUGCCACAGAAAACAGACCGCCAGUGCGCGCGCGUACUGGUAAGGGUGAAACGGCGGUGUAAGAGACCACCAGCGUUGCGGGUGACCGCAACGGCUAGGUAAACCCCACCCGGAGCAAGGUCGAGAAGAUUCGCCUUGGAAACAAGGUGUUUCGCGCAGAUGCUCGAGGGCGGCCCGCCCGAGUCUGCGGGUAGAUCGCUAGAACCUGUCGGCGACGACAGGUCGAGAUGGAUGGCCGUCACCCGGCGCUCACGCGGCGGGAACAGAACCCGGCUUACAGGUCGGCUCGUCCG
rnacentral:RNase_P_RNA from 1 species